GCCGAGAGGCGAAUCGAGUGAUGAACGCAAGGGAAAGGUCUUCAACACCCAAAAUAAGGACUUCCCGACAGGCGAAACAACUGCCCAAACCAGUGGAGGCGAGCCCAGCCGAGACGAACACGACAAUGGUGAGGCGAGGCCACCGGAGAAGCGAAACUGAUCAGAGAUUAGUGAGAACGCGAGAGGCGACAGAAGAAAGACGAGAGAGCGAGAGAGCGAGAGAGCGAGAGAGUGAGACCUAUUUCAUCAUAACAAAACACAAUGUAAGAGAAAGAAGAAAGGAAACCGCG
rnacentral:lncRNA from 1 species